UGCGUCCCAGCAUCUACUCGACUCCAUCUUAAGAGUUUCGGCGUGUUGCUGGCUCCAGAACCCAACUUUUUGAUGUACUUAGAAUUUUUUGGCUUUGUGCUUGCAAAGGAGUUCAGCCACUUUCUCUUUCUGAUCUUGUUAGUGUGCUUGUCUCGUUUGCAUUUGUGGGUUCUAAUAGCGCCAUCAAAAUGAAUUGGGCAGGAGAGGAACCCUGGGAUAUUCUGCCGCGCCGCAGCCGCAGCCGCAGCCGCAGCUGCACAGGAAAAGAAGUGAAGGAUACCGUUGUGGGGGCUGAGGAUGUAGCUCUAGUGUGAGGUUUGGUCUGCUGCUAUGUAUUGUAAUGCUGAACACUGGCCCCCACCAAGCUCAGUUGCCUCAAGGAUCAGAGAAUCUUCCUGCUGACUCAGGUGACACUGUGUGACCUGCCCCCCAAGUUAUCCCUGAUUGGUACCCUGGCUGUAUCAGAGCAGAGUAAGCAGAAGAUGGAGAACUCGGCUCCUCCAGCACCACGCCUGCCUAGAUGCUGCCUGGAUGCUGCCUGGAUGCUGCCCUGCUCCCGCCUUGAUGAUAAUGGACUGACCCUCUGAACCUGGCAGGUGUGAAACCCAGUCUGUGAACAACCCUUGAGGUCCUCAUCUUGGCUUUGCUGGCAUCCAGCUCUUGCAGCUGCUCAUCCAGUUCCAUGAACAUCUCACGCUCCAGAUCCUCCCGACCUAACUAAGCGCUCUGCCCCCUCUCCAGAUGAGUCAUCUUCAAAGACUGUGAUCCAUAUUGGCUGUUCCUGAAAAACUCUUUGGCUGAGUGCUUUCCACAUAGCUCAGGUUGGUCUCAAAGUCAUGGCUAUCCUCCUGCCUCAGAUCCUCCAGUGACUGGAUUACAGGCAUGUGCCACAUGGCACAACUUGGCCUGUUGUUUUGUUUUGUUUUGUUUUUGGUACUGGGGAUUGAACCCAGACCUUUUUUGCACAUGCUAGCCAAGCAAUCUAUUCUUUUCUUUUUUAUGGAUGUGUGUGGUUACCUACGUAAGGAUGUGUGUGCAGGAGCGACAGAGGUCAGAAGAGAGCACCACAUCCCCUGGAACUGGAGUUACAGGCAGAUGCAAGCUGCCAUCUUGGUGCUGGAAAUAAAUAUGCAACUUCUAUAAGAGCAGUACGUACUCUUAAUGGCUGAGCUCUCUUGAGUCCCCUGCUUGGAUUUUUUAAAAACUAAUUUUAUUAGAGAAUACAUUACUUCCUUUCAGACCUAUGAGGAUAUGCCUUUUGCAAAGCAUUUCCUUUAUCCCUCUCCAGAAGAGAAAAGGAAACAGAAGUGGGGGCUGAUACAGAACUCCAACUCCUAUUAAUGGAUGCAAAGUACCCAGGAUGUCAUAAAAUGAGCCCAGUCUUCGGCCAUAAACAAAAGGCAGUCUUGUGUGUUGGCUGCUGCAUUGCCCUGUCAGCCUACAGAAGGAAAAGGAAGGCUGGCCGUUCCGCAGGACACAGCACUAAAAGCACCCUGGUUCAAGAUGAGUGGGAAGCCAUCCCAGUAAACACAUCAUGAAUUUAAAACAAAACAGCAUUACUUCAAAUGAGAUAAUUUUUAAAUAUAUAUUUUGAUGAAUUUGA
rnacentral:sRNA from 1 species